UUAGACAUGUUGGGUUGGGUCUUGAAAGUAUUGGGUCGGUUCAUUGGGCCGACCCAUUGGGUUGAUGAUAUCUUUAUUUGGGUCCUAUGGAGUUAUUGGGCCAAGACAGUGGGCCGAACUAUUGGAUAAGUAUGGUUCCACUUAGGCUUUGACCGGUGAUGAUUAUGGGGAUAGAACUUUGACUGUCAUAUCUGUCUUGUAUUUAAUAAAGAUUGGACAGGGCUUAGUCGGCUAAAGGCUGUGGGCCCGGAAAGUCAGUUGCAUACAGGACAAACCGGACUUUGGAGUAUAUGUUAG
rnacentral:lncRNA from 1 species